CGAGGAAUGCCUAGUAAGCGCG
rnacentral:misc_RNA from 1 species